rnacentral:rRNA from 1 species
UACGGAGGGUGCAAGCGUUGUCCGGAUUUAUUGGGUUUAAAGGGUGCGUAGGCGGGCAUGUAAGUCAGUGGUGAAAUCUUCGAGCUUAACUCGGAAACUGCCGUUGAUACUAUGUGUCUUGAAUAUCGUUGAGGUUUGCGGAAUAUGUCAUGUAGCGGUGAAAUGCUUAGAUAUGACAUAGAACACCAAUUGCGAAGGCAGCAGGCUAAACGAACAUUGACGCUGAGGCACGAAAGCGUGGGGAUCAAACAGGG